rnacentral:lncRNA from 1 species
UAUAAAAUUUAUCGAGUGGGCUGGUAUGCUUCUGGAAGUACGGAGCCCUCCAUUUUUUAAGUUGUUUUCGAUGUUCGGACUUUCGAAUCGACGAUCGGCUCCGUUAGAGUUGAUCCAGAGUAUUUGAAGUACCUAGAAAAUAAAUUUUGCGAUUUUUCGAUAUCAUUUGCUUAGUGAUCGAAGUGGCUCAAAAUCAAUAAUUUUAAAGGCCGUAAUGAGCCGUUUGCAAGUUUAACGGUGGAAAAAUAUCCAAAUCACACGAAAUUUUGAUAGAAAAUUCUUUAUACCGUAUAAAAUAAGAUCAAUAGCUUUGAUCUAAAAUUUUAAUGUCAUAUCAUCAU